GCUCCCAUCGUCUAGCCCGGUCUAGGACAUCGCCUUUUCACGGCGGUAACUGGGGUUCGAAUCCCCAUGGGAGUGCCA
rnacentral:tRNA from 1 species